GGUACAACCAAAUCACCCUGCAAGCUUUGUGUCGACCCAUAUAUUUUUUAUGAGAAAUGCCUUUUAAAUAAAAUUUUAAAUGAUAUUAAUUUAUAUUCACAUUCGAAGAAACGACUAAAUAUAUUACUUGGAAUAUGAUGGAAGUGGAAUAGCAGACGAUAAAAUUAUUGACCGUUUUCAUGAAACAGCAAAUUUGAAGCGAUGGAGAUUCAGCAACUAAAUCAUGGGUAGGUGCAGACGGGAGGGUGUACCACAGUCACGAUGGACUUGCACCAGAUUCGCAUGAACCCAUUUAGUCUCCUGGCUUCUUCGGUAGAAGAGCUCCUCCUCUUCUCUCAAGAAACUUCAAUGAGAGAGCCUUCACUGUUGGACCCGUUUUGGUAUGCUUUGAUUUGGGACUUCUGUAUUGGCCGAGUGUUUUCCAUUUUCAUGUAGAUUAUGAUUCUUGUUGCUGCUCAAAUAAACUAAAUGAUUGGGUGUUGAUGGAGAAUUGGCUACUACCUUACAGGAAAACAGCUUUGAUACUGGCUUUAUGUAAAUUCUUACCGGACAAGUGCAGUCUUGCUGCUGUGACAAAUGAUAUAUUCACAAAAGAGGAUGGUGAGUUCCUGAGGAAGAAUGGUGCUCUGCCUGAGGAAAGGAUAUGUGCUGUGGAAACAUGAGGUUGUUCGCAUGCUGCCAUUCAUGAAGACAUCAGCAUAAAUCUUGGCCCUCUGGAGGAACUUUGUAACUUGUUUAAAGCAGACAUACUUCUUUGUUAAUCUGGGGGAGGUGAUCUAUUAGUGAAUGCAUUUCCUCAAUAUCCAUUUUCUGCUGCAGUGAUCUUGCUGAACUCUAUUAAACUGAUGCUAAUUGAUUGAUGGAGUUGGCUUAUCCUGAUUUACCAAUUUUACUGGCGGUCACAACAAUAAUAUUGGGAAAAUAUAACAACAGUAUGGAAAGCCUGUUGGUAUCCAAUUCAGGCAAAGCGUUCUAAUAAAAAUUUCAUGAAGGAUGAGAAGGCCCAUGUUUGAAAUUCGAAUUUUUGUUUUACAGGUGAUAAACAAGAUCAACCUUGCACCAGCAGUAAGAGCUGCUUUGACAGUAGUGGAGCAUGAUGCACUCCAGAUGCGUGAUGGAGGGCCUUUUGUCUUUGCUCAGGUUGCUUCGGCCAUUAGUAGCAUUUCCUUAAUAUAAGCAUGAAAUAACAUGAUGUUUUUUUGACUUGUGGAAGAUUCACGGUCAAAUUACCAAAAAAAAAAAAAAAAGAUUCACAGUCCUACAUAAUGAAGUUAUUCUAUGGGCUGUAUCCUUGAGCUGUCUUUUUCUCAAUCCCAUUGCCUCUGAAAAAGAUUAAUUAGGUGUUCUGCUGAUAUAGUUAACCCAUGAAUUCUCCAACCUGAUACAGAAAAUGUCAGAAUUAUAUUUCUGGAUAAAAUACAUGAAAUUUUCAUUGGCAGGCUGUUAGAACUUAUAUAUAUAUUUUCCGCAGGAAAAGAGAAAAUAAAAAAAGCUGUGACCCAAAGGCAAAAUUGGAAGGCUGUCACCUUAUUGCAAAUCCAACCACUAAGAAUAUGAAACGUGGCAGAGCAGGAGAGAAUGAAAUGGCUGUGGAAAGAGUUGAAAAAGGGAGCAGGUGUGGAAAAAAGAAAGAGGGGAAAAAAACUAAGGAAAAGGUGGGGUGAGAGUGGUUCUCUCGAAUGCUGAGUAUUUACUGUGGGGAUUUAGUUGGGUUUUUGUGUAGCUUUCUGGAAAAAUUAGUGAAGAGAAUUGUAAUUGAUUAAGCAGUGCAGUAGAUGGAAAUAGUCAUUGUAUUGGAGAACUAAUUUGUAUUCAUUCCUGGAAAAACUAUUCAAUACAAUACAUAUUUUCAUUAUCUUGUA